rnacentral:lncRNA from 1 species
AAAACUCUUCUUCUCCAAACCCAUCUUCCACAAGCACCAUACCCAAAACCCAUAAAACCCUCAUCCACUCUCAUCCUCCUCUACAUCUUGUUCUUCCAACAAAGGUAUGUAUUAAUGUAAUUUUUAUGUUUAAUUUUUGAGUUUUGUUAUUUUCGAGUUUUUUUAUUUUUUUUUUUCAGAUUUUUUUUCUUUUUGUUCAUACUUACAUAAGUUAGUUGUAGUUAUAAUUUAAUACCCAUCAUCAUAAGUUGAAAUGUUAGUAAAAUAGUAGUUUUAAUUAUUUCUUUCUUGUUGUUUUUAUUUUCUUGAUUAUUUUUUAGAUUUUGUUUUUAUGUUUAAGUAAAUAUAUUAAUACUGUUGUUAGUUAUUGUGUAAUAUAAUGAUAGUGUUUUAAUGAUAUAGAUGAUGGUUAAGUUGGUUUUAUUUUUAUUUUUAAGAUUUUUGUUGAAGUGUUUAUACAUAUGUUGUGAUUGAGUGUACAUAAAUUGUGUAUAAAUUAGUAGAAUAUUAUUGGGGUGUUGUUGAUUGAUGAGUGUGGCGUGGAAUCUCACUUGGUUGGUGAUAUUGUAGGAUUGUAUAAGGGCGAUUAUUGUUCAAAAAGGGUCAAAAUGGGAUGAGAAAAUACAAUGCAUGUAAUGUAUUUGUGAAAAAUCCCAAAUGAAUAAGGAAAGGGUGUUUGUGACAAAUGAUGAGUGUGAAGUCUAAGUAACACCAUUAAGUAACACAUUCUUGAUUGGGUUGUGUUAAGAGGUUUUUGUUUUGCAAGAAUAAUGACUAAACCCAGGAAAAGAAGAACUACAGGUGCUUCCUCAAGCAGCCAACCAGGUAGAGCUAGAUCAAGAGGGGCAACAAUGGGACGCCCCUUUGAUAGUACAAAAUUUAUUUCUGCCAGAGCUCAGGAUAGAUCUGUAGAAAAAGAAAACAAGAAGCCAAUUCCUGAAC